rnacentral:rRNA from 1 species
CAGCCGCCGCGGGAAUACGUAGGGUGCAAGCGUUAAUCGGAAUUACUGGGCGUAAGGCGUGCGCAGGCGGUUGUGUAAGACAGGUGUGAAAUCCCCGGGCUUAACCUGGGAACUGCGCUUGUGACUGCACAGCUAGAGUAUGGCAGAUGGGGGUGGAAUUCCACGUGUAGCAGUGAAAUGCGUAAAGAUGUGGAGGAACACCGAUGGCGAAGGCAGCCCCCUGGGCCAAUACUGACGCUCAUGCACGAAAGCGUGGGGAGCAAACAGGAUUAGAUACCCGUGUAGUCCCUGUCUCUUAUAC